rnacentral:rRNA from 1 species
CCAUCGCUCAACGGAUAAAAGGUACUCCGGGGAUAACAGGCUGAUACCGCCCAAGAGUUCAUAUCGACGGCGGUGUUUGGCACCUCGAUGUCGGCUCAUCACAUCCUGGGCUGAAGUCGGUCCCAAGGGUAUGGCUGUUCGCCAUUUAAAGUGGUACGCGAGCUGGGUUCAGAACGUCGUGAGACAGUUCGGUCCCUAUCUGCCGUGGGCGUUGGAUGAUUGAAGGGAGCUGCUCCUAGUACGAGAGGACCGGAGUGGACGAACCGCUGGUGUUCGGGUUGUCAUGCCAAUGGCAUUGCCCGGUAGCUACGUUCGGAAUCGAUAACCGCUGAAAGCAUCUAAG